AGCUGAGUCAUAGGAGGUGUGUAUAAAGGAGGAGGUCACAAGGGUAGUCAUGCGUCUCGCCGGGUGACUGGGAGAGAGUUCACAUCUCACAUCAUACAACACCCUACCACUGUCCACUGGGUUACAUAGGCACUCGUCUACACGCUUGUUUUACAAGAAAAUGAAUUCCCAGAAAGUGUCUACCGAUUUUUUAGAGUACCUGAUCGUGAUGAAGCUCGCGAUACGGGUGGGCUCUACGGUCGACCUGCAGAACCGACAGUCUCAGUACUGUCGUGAAAAUCCUCAAGUAUACAAUCAUCGCUGGAUGCUGUAUGCGGACACCCAGAACAUGAAGUGGCAAGAAACCAGGCUGCUCCAGAAAUGCCAACAAUUCGGGGCAUGCCCUGAAAAUGAUCAACAUGUCAGCAACAAUACGGAAGCUCCAGGAUAUGUUUAUGUCAUCCUGUAAACUCCGUGUCUUACCAAUGGCGCUGAUAAACGACUCUUAGCUUUUCUUCGUUCACUGUAACAUGGAAUCCGACACGAUUACAAAACUUGUAAACAAUAUCCUGGAUAUCUAUAAAUAAUUCUUAAAUAAGUAGAUUCCUACUAAAUGUGUAACUUUUGUGCACACAGUAAACACUCAGAAUAAGACUUCAUCUGUCAUUUGUCUUUCUUUGUACUCAGCGUAUUUCAAGCCUAAAAAAUAAUGAAGUUAAAACCAUUGUUGCAUCAAAUUCUGGAAAUAAACUUCAUGAAACAGUC